AGGAAAUGCAUGUCUUGAAUGUCUUGGAUUUGGAUGUCAUUUGCUUUAGAUAAUUUUGGUUAACAUCUGUUCAGCUAACAUUGGGAUAGUAAAUGCAAAUGGAUAGAGAAUUGAUCAUGUAAAUUUUCCUGAGUUUGGGUGCUUAUUUGUUUUUAAAGAUAAAGAUUGGAACAGAUUGAAUCAUGCUUAUUAUUUGUGGUCUGAGUUCCAGAGUGAAAAGAACAAAUACUUUUAUCCUGAAACACUUGCACAUUCUUAGCAUCUUCUAUGAAUGUUUAAAUGUUUGAGUAAAUUCAUAAACUCAUCAAUGUAGAAAGCUUGUAGAGAUUCAAGGCCUGAGGUGCUCACAGUUCAAUUGUCAGCAAAAGAAUUCAGAUUGUGAAUAUAUCAUUGUCCCUUUGAAAACAGUCAUAAAAGAUAAAAUAAAGAGGAAUAAAUGUGAAUUAUGCUAUAGUUAAUCCCUAUGAUGGGUUGGAAAGUACGGUUAGGUGGGCUGUGCUAGGCUGAGAUUUAGCAAACAGAGGCAUAGAAUACAGUAAAAAUAAGAUGAGGAUAGAAAAGCAGUUUGGGAACGGGAGGAUUAUUUGGAGAAAUAAAUCUGAUGCUUUUUCCCAACUGAACUGGUAAACUGAUUAAUGAAAGUAUUCAUACUAUGUUCUCUAAAGAAAACUUCUUACUUUGUUCCUAUCUAAAUUUUGUAAUCAUGCCUUCUGCAUUUGUAGAAGCACGUGCUUUUAAGUAUUUGUCUCUUACAUAACAAAUAUUCUCUUAAGUAAAACUUUGUUGUUAGAACCUGGAUGGUUUUCAGCAAUUCGGGAAGAUCGGGAAGGUGUGGUAGUCUGUUAAGUGGAAAAAAA